rnacentral:rRNA from 1 species
CAAUAGCGUAUAUUAAAGUUGUUGCAGUUAAAAAGCUCGUAGUUGGAUUUCGGGGCAGCCUGGCUGGUCCGCCGCAAGGCGAGUAAUGGUCAGCCGCCCUUCCUCUCGAAAGCCCCGACUGCUCUUUAUUGCAGUGGUCGGGUAGUUCGGGACGUUUACUUUGAAAAAAUUAGAGUGUUCAAGGCAGGCCUACGCCUGAAUACAUUAGCAUGGAAUAAUGGAAGAGGACCUCGGUCCUAUUUUGUUGGUUUCCAGGACCGAAGUAAUGAUUAAGAGGGACAGUUGGGGGCAUUCGUAUUUAAUUGUCAGAGGUGAAAUUCUCGGAUUUAUGAAAGACGAACAACUGCGAAAGCAUUUGCCAAGGAUGUUUUCAUUAA